CUACAUCGUCACAAACAUGUCUGACUUCCGUUCGAAACGCCAUUGUGUUCCGGAUUGAUAACAUUAUGUCGUGGUACAAAAUAGCUAUACACCGUUUAAUUGAACUCUUCUAACUAAGGAGACGAGAUAGGACUGAAAUCACCAAAACGCUUAGAAAUAUGUCAAUUUUCUUCCUGUUUAAAGCUUUUAACUAACAUUGAUUAUCAGCUGUUUUGUACGGAAAACGUGGACUCUAAAUAAUAUACCGUUUCCCUGCUCUGCUGCUAUUGGCAAUACAUUUUUGUCAUGUCAUCUGCAACAGACGAUCAUACAUAUGUGGCGGAUUAUCGAUAUAGAUACAGCUAGGUAGCAAUAGCAGUGGAAGCCCGGAUUUGCAAGCAAAAUGAGGGAAAGACAGGAUUCUGAAAAGGAGCAUGUUUUUCAUUUCCACACAUGCAUGUGUAUCACUAUGGACAUCUAAUGUUUUUGUGGGAUUUUGUCCAGCAGUUUGCCUUAACAGAAUUUUUUAUAUUUUAGUUUCAUAUUUAUGUGGAUUCCAAUAAAAAUCAUACAAACUUCAUUCAUGAUUUUUUUGUUUUUCAUUUCUAAACUUAAUAACAUUUCAC